UACGUAGGCAGCGAGCGUUGUUCGGAGUUACUGGGCGUAAAGGGUGUGUAGGCGGUUGUUUAAGUUUGGUGUGAAAUCUCCCGGCUCAACUGGGAGGGUGCGCCGAAUACUGAAUGACUAGAGUGCGGAAGAGGCGAGUGGAAUUCCUGGUGUAGCGGUGAAAUUCGUAGAUAUCAAGCGGAACACCGGUGGCGAAGGCGGCCUUCUGGACAGUGACUGACGCUGAGACGCGAAAGCGUGGGGAGCAAACAGG
rnacentral:rRNA from 1 species